AGGAGUAUUCUCCCAACCACGUAAAACUACUUAUGUUCUUUAUUUCAGCAUUUACAUUUCAGUUUUGAUAUAACUGCUUAGCAAACUAAAUACACGCAUUACCACAAGCAAAAGCAUCGCAAACUAUCAUUCAACAUAUUUCAUCAGACUGACUCAAGUCACUGAUCGUAAACUUAAUAUUGAUUAAGUUGAAACGAUAACUUUUUUUUUCUUUCUAAAAGCGAGUUAACCAACCACAACAUUCUGCACUUCGGUUAUUAGUCCAACUGACCAGCUUACAAACUGUUUUAUUUGAAUAUUAGUUAGACUAGCGUCAGUUAGCAUUUCUAUAUCAACCCAACUGACUCCUUAUCAGCUGAGACUGUUCAGAAUACUCUCACUUUGAAAAACGAAGAGAAUUGUAACUCGUGUAUUCCCCCCAUACACCAAUACGUACUCGCUACUACUCACUCGGGACCAACACCAAGUAUAUUCUAAGAUGUGAAUCAUAACAUAAAAACUCAAAUUCACAAUCAAAAGUAAUUUGAGAUUGUGAAUUAAUAUAAAAAUUCAAAUUCACAACCAAAACUAAUUUCGAAUUGUGAAUUAUAGCAUAAAAUCUUGAAUUCACAAUCAAGAAUAUUUUAAGUUGCGAAUUUAAAUUUUAAAAUUAAAAUUCAUAUUUAAAAAUUAUCUUAAUUGUG
rnacentral:lncRNA from 1 species